rnacentral:misc_RNA from 1 species
AACCAGCAACGAAUGAAACCUAAACACAUAUAACUGUCGUAUGAUGAAUGCAAGGAGGUUGGAAUAAAAGGUUUUUGAAAGUGCCUAUACUUUGUAUAUCUUUCGGAUUACUCCACGUCGGCAUUUCUUGUCAUCCAAUAAAUAUCAAGUCUUCGAAGUGAAAAUUGACUCGUAAACAUGUGGAAUUUUUGUUGUUUGGCUGGAACGAUUGUGGGAGCAGUCAAAAUCGUCUCAUUCCUAGUAGCAUGUAAAAUUUUCUGUGUAUUGAUAGUUUUACCUGCACUCAUAAUUUACUGGCGGCGGAUAUUUGCUCAAAGGAGAGCCCAAAAAUCGAGAAAAGAAACUGUGAUUGGCUUCUUUCAUCCUUACUGCAAUGCUGGUGGAGGCGGAGAAAGAGUACUUUGGGAAGCUGUUAUUGCUUUGCAAAAAGAAUAUUCAAAUAUUCAUAUAGCCAUUUAUACUGGGGACCUUGACGCUGAUCCGGAACAGAUAAUCAGACGAGUUGAAAGAGUUUUCAACAUCAAACUCCAACCUGGGGUGGAAUUUGUAUACUUGCAUAAGAGGAAAUGGCUUGAAGCUAAUGUUUAUCCUCAUUUUACGCUCUUGGGUCAAAGUCUAGGUUCAAUUUGGCUUGGUAUUGAAGCUCUUAAUGCUCUGCAACCAGAUAUUUACAUGGACACCAUGGGCUAUGCGUUCACUUAUCCGCUCUUCAGAUUCAUUGGUGGUUGCAGAGUCGGCACAUACACACAUUAUCCUACAGUGUCGACUGAUAUGUUGAGACAUGUUUACAAGAGAAUUGUGUCGCACAACAAUCAUCGAAUUAUCGCAAGAAAUCCAUUUUUUUCAGCAGCCAAAAUAUUGUACUACAAGUUGUUCGCCAUGAUGUAUGGUUGGGCCGGAAGGUGCGCUGAGACGGUGAUGGUGAAUUCAUCAUGGACCGAAGAUCAUAUAAAUGCUAUUUGGAAAUGUCCCCUAAAAACUCAUCGAGUUUUUCCUCCCUGCGAUGUCGAACAUUUGACACAAUUGCCGCUUCUCGAAGACGACCAGAAAGGAGAAUUCAUUAGGAUUGUAUCUGUGGCGCAAUUCAGACCUGAAAAAGGUCAUCCAUUGAUGCUCAGGGCCAUGUAUGAACUACGUACAAUAUUACCAGAAGACGUUUGGGAAAAGGUUCGUCUUAUUUUAAUUGGAUCUUGUCGUAAUGCCGAAGAUGAAGCUCGUGUAAAGGAUAUGCAAGAUUUUGCUAAGCAUUUAUCUCUCGAAGAUAAUGUUGAAUUCAAAUUAAACAUUCCGUAUCCAGAACUCGUUGAUGAGCUUCAAUUGGGUACGAUAGGCUUGCAUGCAAUGUGGAAUGAGCAUUUUGGUAUCAGUGUUGUUGAGUCAAUGGCCGCUGGGUUGGUUAUGGUUGCUCACGCGUCUGGAGGACCAAGGGCCGACAUUAUUGAAACUCAAUCUAGUAGUCGAACGGGAUUUCUCGCCGAUGAUCCUGAAGAGUACGGUCGAAUUUUAGCACAUGUGAUAAAUAUGACUCCCGAAGAACGGAACGUGAUCAGAACUGCCGCUAGGGCUUCGGUGAGCAGAUUUUCGUGCGAGCAGUUUCAGAAAGAAUUUCUACGAGCAGUGGCACCAUUUUUUCGACCGAAGCAGGAAUGAAUAUUAGGACCAAAAAAAGAAAACGAAAAAUAAAUCAUUAUAAAACCAUUGAAUUCAUGAGCGAAUGAAUUCUCUGGAACGUGUGGAAGAAAGACAAAAACGGCAACAACGUUUACGACUGGCUUGUACGAACACGUUGAUGCGAGAUGACUAAAAAUUAAAAGCCAAAUAAAUGAAACCCCCAAUUGUUGAAACUA